CACGUAAGGGGCAAGCGUUGUUCGGAAUUAUUGGGCGUAAAGGGCGCGUAGGCGGCUUGGCAAGCCUGGUGUGAAAGGCCACAGCUUAACUGUGGGAGUGCGCUGGGAACUGCUUGGCUAGAGUUCAGGAGGGGAAGCUGGAAUUCCUGGUGUAGGGGUGAAAUCUGUAGAUAUCAGGAAGAACACCUGUGGCGAAGGCGAGCUUCUGGCCAUGAACUGACGCUGAGGCGCGAAAGCGUGGGGAGCGAACAGGAUUAGAUACCCUUGUA
rnacentral:rRNA from 1 species